AAAAGAACUUUGAAAAGAGAGUUAAAAAGUACGUGAAACCGUUGAAAGGGAAGCGAAUAGAGUGAGCAAUUCUCCCUGGCGUGCUCGAUCUUUCCAGACGAGCCUUGUGCGCAUGCGUCGCGUGGACGGUGCACUUCUGCUGGGAGAAAGUCAACGUCGGUUUGCGUGUGCUCAAAAUGCCGCGAGCACGGUAGGUCUCUCGGGAUCGGUAAGGCUUGCGUGCGGAUAACUACAUGCAGACCGAGUUGCAGUCGCAGCACGUACCUGCAGGUUGAUGUCUUCGUCGUUGUAUCGGUUUACUGUCGCCAAACGGACGGCAUUGCCAGUGCGUUUGGGUGCGGCCGUUCACACGACGGGGCUAACAGACACCACGUGCUGAGGGCGUUGACAAUUCUGCGCCUCUAUCCGACCCGUCUUGAAACACGGACCAAGGAGUCUAACAUGUGCGCAAGUCUCGGAGUGAACGAAACUCGUUGGGCAUAAUGAAAGUGAAUGCAGUCUCGGCUGCAGAGAUGAGAGGCUGUCGUGGCGGCAUCAUCGACCGACCUAUUCUACUCUUAGAAAGGUUUGAGUUAGAGCGCACCUGUCGGGACCCGAAAGAUGGUGAACUAUGCUUGAAUAGGGCGAAGCCAGCGGAAACACUGGUGGAAGCCCGUAGCGAUUCUGACGUGCAAAUCGAUCGUCGAAUUUGAGUAUAGCGGCGAAAGACUAAUCGAACCGUCUAGUAGCUGGUUCCCUCCGAAGUUUCUCACAGGAUAGCUGGAACUCAGUUGCAGUUU
rnacentral:rRNA from 1 species